rnacentral:rRNA from 1 species
AAUUAAAGCGGUACGUGAGCUGGGUUCAGAACGUCGCGAGACAGUUCGGUCCCUAUCUGCCAUGGGCGUUGGAUGGUUGAGAGGAGCUGUUUUUAGUACGAGAGGACCGAAAUGGACUGGCCUCUGGUGUACCAGUUGUCCUGCCAAGGGCACGUGCUGGGUAGCCACGCCGGGAAGGGAUAACCGCUGAAGGCAUCUAAGCGGGAAGCCCACCUCAAGAUUAACCAUCCCUGGGGGAUUAACCCCCCCAAAGGCACCAGGAAGACUACCUGGUUGAUAGGCUGGAGGUCUAAGUGUGGUAACGCACUCAGCCGACCAGUACUAAUCUGCCGCGAGGCUUGACCAU